ACGCUCGACACCUACGGGAGGCAGCAGUAGGGAAUCUUCCACAAUGGGCGCAAGCCUGAUGGAGCAACACCGCGUGAGUGAAGAAGGGUUUCGGCUCGUAAAGCUCUGUUGUUAGAGAAGAACGUGCGUGAGAGUAACUGUUCACGCAGUGACGGUAUCCAACCAGAAAGUCACGGCUAACUACGUGCUAGCAGCCGCGGUAAUCUGAGCGGGCUGGCAAGGC
rnacentral:rRNA from 1 species